rnacentral:rRNA from 1 species
CCUACGGGGGGCAGCAGUGGGGGAUAUUGCACAAUGGGGGGAACCCUGAUGCAGCGACGCCGCGUGGGUGAAGAAGCGCUUCGGCGCGUAAAGCCCUGUCAGCAGGGAAGAAAAUGACGGUACCUGACCAAGAAGCCCCGGCUAACUACGUGCCAGCAGCCGCGGUAAUACGUAGGGGGCAAGCGUUAUCCGGAUUUACUGGGUGUAAAGGGGGCGGAGACGGGGGUGCAAGUCAGGAGUGAAAGCCGGGGGCCCAACCCCGGGACUGCUCUGGAAACUGCGUGGCUGGAGUGCAGGAGGGGCAAGCGGAAUUCCUGGUGUAGCGGUGAAAUGCGUAGAUAUCAGGAGGAACACCAGUGGCGAAGGCGGCCUGCUGGACAGCAACUGACGCUGAGGCGCGAAAGCGUGGGGAGCAAACAGGAUUAGAUACCCCAGUAGUC